GACGAACGCUGGCGGCGUGCUUAACACAUGCAAGUCGAACGGAAAGGCCCUGCUUUUGUGGGGUGCUCGAGUGGCGAACGGGUGAGUCACACGUGAGUAACCCGCCCUUUACUUUUGGAUAACUUCAGGAAACUGGGGUUAAUACCGUAUAGGAGCUUCUGCUGCAGGGGGGGGGUUGGAAAGUUUCGGCGGUGGGGGAUGGACUCGCGGCUUAUUAGCUUGUUGGUGGGGGAGUUGCUUAGCAAGGGUUUGAUGGGUAGCCGGCCUGAGAGGGUGACCGGCCACGUUGGGACUGAGAUACGGCCCAGCCUCCUACGGGAGGAAGCAGGGGGGAAUAUUGAACAGUGGGAGGAAGCCUGAUGCAGCAAGGCCGCGUGCGGGAUGACGGCCUUCGGGUUGUAACCCGCUGUAGCCUGUGACGCAGCGGGAGUGACGGUAAUGGGUAAAGAAGCACCGGCUAACUACGUG
rnacentral:rRNA from 1 species